AGAGUUUGAUCAUGGCUCAGGACGAACGCUGGCGGCGUNNUUAACACAUGCAAGUCGAACGAUGAUCCGGUGCUUGCACCGGGGAUUAGUGGCGAACGGGUGAGUAACACGUGAGUAACCUGCCCUGGACUCUGGGAUAACCCCGAGAAAUCGGAGCUAAUACCGGAUAGGACCUGGAGCCGCAUGGUUUUGGGUGGAAAGUUUUUUCGGUCUGGGAUGGACUCGCGGCCUAUCAGCUUGUUGGUGAGGUAAUGGCUCACCAAGGCGUCGACGGGUAGCCGGCCUGAGAGGGUGACCGGCCACACUGGGACUGAGACACGGCCCAGACUCCUACGGGAGGCAGCAGUGGGGAAUAUUGCACAAUGGGCGAAAGCCUGAUGCAGCAACGCCGCGUGAGGGAUGACGGCCUUCGGGUUGUAAACCUCUUUUAGUAAGGAAGAAGGGGAGCUUGCUCCUUGACGGUACUUGCAGAAAAAGCACCGGCUAACUACGUGCCAGCAGCCGCGGUAAUACGUAGGGUGCGAGCGUUGUCCGGAAUUAUUGGGCGUAAAGAGCUCGUAGGCGGUUUGUCACGUCUGCUGUGAAAUCCCGAGGCUCAACCUCGGGCCUGCAGUGGGUACGGGCAGACUGGAGUGCGGUAGGGGAGAAUGGAAUUCCUGGUGUAGCGGUGGAAUGCGCAGAUAUCAGGAGGAACACCGAUGGCGAAGGCAGUUCUCUGGGCCGUAACUGACGCUGAGGAGCGAAAGCGUGGGGAGCGAACAGGAUUAGAUACCCUAGUAGUCC
rnacentral:rRNA from 1 species